rnacentral:sRNA from 1 species
AGACGCAGCCUCCUCCCUUUCUGGGCUCAGUUCUUUCUUCUCUUCCUGCCCCCCACCUCUAGCUACAAGCCCUCCAGAGCCAGGUGGAGUUCCUGGAGCAGUCCAUGGUGGACAAGUCCCUGGUGAGCAGGCAGGAAGCUAAGAUACGGGAGCUGGAGACACGCCUGGAGUUUGAAAGGACGCAAGUGAAACGGCUGGAGAGCCUGGCUAGCCGUCUCAAGGAAAACAUGGAGAAGCUGACUGAGGAGCGGGAUCAGCGCAUUGCAGCCGAGAACCGGGAGAAGGAACAGAACAAGAGGCUACAGAGGCAGCUCCGGGACACCAAGGAGGAGAUGGGCGAGCUUGCCAGGAAGGAGGCCGAGGCGAGCCGCAAGAAGCACGAACUGUGAGGGAGACUCGGAUGUGGACUCGGAGCUGGAGGACCGUGUCGAUGGGGUCAAGUCCUGGUUGUCAAAAAACAAGGGACCUUCCAAGGCAGCUUCUGAUGAUGGCAGCUUAAAGAGUUCCAGCCCCACUAACUACUGGAAGUCCCUUGCCCCUGAUCGGUCAGAUGAUGAGCACGACC